rnacentral:rRNA from 1 species
GACGAACGCUGGCGGCGUGCCUAAUACAUGCAAGUCGAACGCACAGUUUAUACCGUAGCUUGCUACACCAUAGACUGUGAGUUGCGAACGGGUGAGUAACGCGUAGGCAACCUGCCUGGUAGCGGGGGAUAACUAUUGGAAACGAUAGCUAAUACCGCAUAAUAUUAAUUAUUGCAUGAUAAUUAAUUGAAAGGUGCAAUUGCACCACUACCAGAUGGACCUGCGUUGUAUUAGCUAGUAGGUGAGGUAACGGCUCACCUAGGCGACGAUACAUAGCCGACCUGGGAGGGUGAUCGGCCACACUGGGACUGAGACACGGCCCAGACUCCUACGGGAGGGAGCAGUAGGGAAUCUUCGGCAAUGGACGAAAGUCUGACCGAGCAACGCCGCGGGAGUGAAGAAGGGUUUCGGAUCGUAAAGCUCGGUUGUAAGGGAAGAACGGGUGUGAGAGUGGAAAGUUCACACUGUGACGGUAUCUUACCAGAAAGAGACGGCUAACUACGUG